UACAGAGGUCCCAAGCGUUGUUCGGAAUUAUUGGGCGUAAAGGGUGCGUAGGCGGCGCGGUAAGUCGGGUGUGAAAUCUUGGAGCUUAACUCCGAAACUGCAUUCGAUACUGCCGUGCUUGAGGACUGGAGAGGAGACUGGAAUUUACGGUGUAGCGGUGAAAUGCGUAGAUAUCGUAAGGAAGACCAGUGGCGAAGGCGGGUCUCUGGACAGUUCCUGACGCUGAGGCACGAAGGUCAGGGGAGCAAACGGG
rnacentral:rRNA from 1 species